AUUGAACGCUGGCGGUAUGCUUAACACAUGCAAGUCGAACGGUAGCAUGACUUAGCUUGCUAAGUUGAUGACGAGUGGCGAACGGGUGAGUAACGCGUAGGAAUAUGCCUUAAAGUGGGGGACAACUUGGGGAAACUCAAGCUAAUACCGCAUAAUUUCUUAGGAAAAAAGCUGGGGACCUUCGGGCCUGGCGCUUUAAGAUUAGCCUGCGUACGAUUAGCUAGUUGGUAGGGUAAAGGCCUACCAAGGCGACGAUCGUUAGCUGGUCUGAGAGGAUGACCGGCCACACUGGAACUGGGACACGGUCCAGACUCCUACGGGAGGCAGCAGUGGGGAAUAUUGGACAAUGGGGGCAACCCUGAUCCAGCAAUACCGCGUGUGUGAAGAAGGCCUGAGGGUUGUAAAGCACUUUCAGUGGGGAGGAGGGUAUUUAGGUUAAGAGCUAGAAUACUGGACGUUACCCACAGAAGAAGCACCGGCUAACUCCGUGCCAGCCGCCGCAGUAA
rnacentral:rRNA from 1 species